rnacentral:rRNA from 1 species
UACUCCUACGGGAGGCAGCAGUGGGGAAUAUUGCACAAUGGGCGCAAGCCUGAUGCAGCCAUGCCGCGUGUAUGAAGAAGGCCUUCGGGUUGUAAAGUACUUUCAGCGGGGAGGAAGGCGAUAAGGUUAAUAACCUUGUCGAUUGACGUUACCCGCAGAAGAAGCACCGGCUAACUCCGUGCCAGCAGCCGCGGUAAU